AUUGAACGCUGGCGGCAGGCCUAACACAUGCAAGUCGAGCGGAUGAAGGGAGCUUGCUCCUGGAUUCAGCGGCGGACGGGUGAGUAAUGCCUAGGAAUCUGCCUGGUAGUGGGGGAUAACGUCCGGAAACGGGCGCUAAUACCGCAUACGUCCUGAGGGAGAAAGUGGGGGAUCCUCGGACCUCACGCUAUCAGAUGAGCCUAGGUCGGAUUAGCUAGUUGGUGGGGUAAAGGCCUACCAAGGCGACGAUCCGUAACUGGUCCGAGAGGAUGAUCAGUCACACUGGAACUGAGACACGGUCCAGACUCCUACGGGAGGCAGCAGUGGGGAAUAUUGGACAAUGGGCGAAAGCCUGAUCCAGCCAUGCCGCGUGUGUGAAGAAGGUCUUCGGAUUGUAAAGCACUUUAAGUUGGGAGGAAGGGCAGUAAGUUAAUACCUUGCUGUUUUGACGUUACCAACAGAAUAAGCACCGGCUAACUUCGUG
rnacentral:rRNA from 1 species